UGAGUUUGGUUUCUUACCUCUUCUCUGCAGCUCUCUGCUUUGUUGUGUCUGCUGGCCGUGUAACUCCCGGAUCGGAGAUCUGAUACGCUCUCGCUCACUGUGACUCUCCCGCUCGGUCAACUUCUCUUUCCUCACCCACCCCUCCUCUCCCUCUCCU